GGAGAGUUACAGCACUUCUUUAACCGAUUUCAUAGCGUCAACAUUAAAGCAGCUGUUUAAAUACAGCGCUUGAUGUGUUCAUUAAAUAUGAGGCAAAGAAAGAUCCGCAGAGCUGUGCGUCACUCUCUGCGUCACAGAUGUGAAAGUGAAAGUAAGUUGUUGGGAGAGGCGCAGAGACGGAGACACGCAGAGGAUGAACUGUCAGUGAACGCCGGUCUUCAGUGUCCUACAGGGUUUCCUGUUGAUGUAGCUGAGCUAUGGAGUCCUGUAGCCCUGCUCACUGUGUCCUGAUCUUACUGAUCAUCACAUUCACUGCUGUGUAUGUGUCAGCUGUUCCUCUAGUGAAGGUGAAGCUUCAUGACUCUGCUACUCUGCCCUGCUCUGAGACAUGUUCUGGUUUGGUCAGAUGGACUGAGUUCAGUAAUCGCACUGAUGUUCUGGCUGAGUGUGAUCAGACUUCAUGUAGAUCAGUGAAGGAGGGAUAUCAGAUGAUCCAUGAUCAGUACCUGAAGGGAGAUUUCUCUCUCACCAUCACUGACGCUGAUUUCAGUAUGAUGGGCACGUACACAUGUGAGUGCGGUAAUUCUGAACUCUGUGAUGUGGAGCUUCAGGUUGAGGACACACCACAGGCAGGGAACAAUAUUUCUGGCAGCAGUCAUACUAAAGGAACGUCCCACGGAGCUCCACAGGUGUCUGUUCCAGGGUGGGCGACUGCUCUGAUACUUCUCACAGUGGCGCUGGUGAUUCUGGUGUUGGUGUUGGUGUUUUUUAUGAGGAGCCACAAUCAGAGCAUCAGAAGUACAAAUGAGCAGAUUAACAGCAUAGAAAAGACCCUCACAGACAGACUUGCUUCUCUGGAGAGCACUGUUGUCCAGAAUCGUGACCAGAUUAAGAGCACAGAAGAUACCCUCAAAAAGAGACUUGAUUCUUUGGAGAAGACUGGUGAGCAGAAUCGUGACCAGAUUAAGAGCACAGAAGAUACCCUCAAAAAGAGACUUGAUUCUAUGGAGAAGACUGGGAAGCAGAACAGUGAGCAGAACAGUGACCAGAUUAACAACAUAGAAAAGACCCUCAAAGAGAAACUUGCUUCUUUGGAGAGGACUGUUGUCCAGAAUCGUGACCAGAUUAAGAGCACAGAAGAUACCCUCAAAAAGAGACUUGAUUCUAUGGAGAAGACUGGUGUCCAGAAUUGUGACCAGAUUAAGAGCACAGAAGAUACCCUCAAAAAGAGACUUGAUUCUAUGGAGAAGACUGGAAACACCGUAAAGACCCCGACACUCUGACACCCCGACCAGCAGCAGCUCAGCUGUGUCUGAUUUCAUCUUCAGCUGAUUGCAGAGCAUCUGAAGCAGCUGUAAGGCAGCAUGUUCACCCUUCAGCUCCUGAUAGAAGUGUGGAUGAGUUCCUCUCAGAGCUCACAGCUCACUAUCACACACACAGUGUUUAUAUAGAAGUGGACGUGUAGGAGUGAACCAGUGAUGAUCAGCCAGCAGCAGCUCUGACUGUUUAAAAGUGAUCAGGUAUUGAUUGUGUAAUAGAGCACUGAGUUGGCUGUAGAUGGAUCACUGUGCUGUGGAUCUAAAUGCCUUUACACACUGAACCAGAUAUAAAAAUAAACACAAAUGUUAAACAUCUAAACUGUAAAAUGAACAAACGGUCAGAAGGUCUGUGUAGAAGAUCCUGCGCUCCUCACUCUCUACUCUGUAAAAGCUAAAGGAGAGCAGAGAGCUUCACCCAGAUCAGAUCUCCAGAACUCAGUCUGAGCUGCUUCUGGAGGUGCAAAACUAAUAGACCAAACAGAAUAAUGUUAUAAUGUUCACCCCCCAAAAAUCUCACUCAGGGUGAUCAAUUAUAUAUAUAUUUAUAGUCGCAAAGCAGCUUCACAGAAUUCCAGAAAAGACCGUUUUAACAAGAAGUGCAAAGAAAACCCAGGUGAGCAAGCCAGGGGCGACAGUGGCAAGGAAAAACUGCCUCACAACUGAGGAAGAAACCUAGUAGUGGCAGGAUUUCUCUGUCCUCACAAAGUUCCCAACUUUUUUACUUCUUACCUGAAGUGUUACUCACUUACUGAUACUCGUAUUACUUUCUGUGUGUAUAGAACCCACAUUACUGCAGCUAACUAACUAAAAGCUCUUAAUAACUACAACCUCUCACAGCAUGUGUGACUUUAUUAACACUAUUGUUGUUACUGUUGUUAUUAGUAAUAGUAUUGGUAGUAAUAUUGUACCUUCUAUUGCCUGCACAUCUUCUAUAUUUCUGCAAGUAAGAGUUAAAUAAAAAAAUGUCUAAUAUUUCCUGUCUUAGUGUGAACGUGACAUCACAAACAUCACAAAAUGUGUGAACAGGCCAAUGAGACAGAGAGCAGUAUAAACAUUAAUAAGUGAAAUUCAGAACUUGUGAACUGGCCAAUGGGACAGUUGGAAAUAUGAAUAUUAAUGAGAGCUGGAAUACCUUUAUUGAGAAGUAGCAGCUUUACUUCAGUCUGGCUCAGGUUCUUUUCAGGAACUGAGUUGGGAAACAGAAGAAACACCUGCUCAUCUUCACUCACAUGUAAUUAUGAAGUGAUGAUCACUGGUUCACAGUAUUGAUCACUGGUUCACAGUAUUGACCACUGGUUCACAGUAUUGAUCACUGGUUCACAGUAUUAAUCACUAGUUAAUAGUAUUGAUCACUGGUUCACAGUAUUGAUCACUGGUUCACAGUAUUGACCACUGGUUCACAGUAUUAAUCACUAGUUAAUAGUAUUGAUCACUGGUUCACAGUAUUGACCACUGGUUCACAGUAUUGACCACUGGUUCACAGUAUUAAUCACUGGUUCAUAGUAUUGAUCACUGGUUCACAGUAUUGACCACUGGUUCACAGUAUUAAUCACUAGUUCACAGUAUUAAUCACUGGUUCAUAGUAUUAAUCACUAGUUCAUAGUAUUGAUCAUUGGUAUGUCUUUGUAUUGUAUUUGUGUAGCAUGUCUGAAGGUUUAUUGUUGUGAAUGUAUACAGAACUGUAAUCACUAAUUCUGCAUGUUAACACCUUGUAGACUCUUAAUUUGCUAAAGAUACUUGUUAUGCAUAACAAUACAAGGUUGUUAUAACCCUGCGUGUAUGAACAGUAAAGGCUGUUUAAAUUACUGCUUAACAUCUUCAAAUGAAUGUUUGACAAAGUAAACUAUUAAAAAUCCCAUGUAACUU
ensembl:lncRNA